CGUUAGCGGCGCGCCUAACACAUGCAAGUCGCAGGAGAAAGGGAGCAAUCCCCGGUACAGUGGCGCACGGGUGAGUAACACGUAGAUGACCUUCCCUGGAGUGGUGGAUAACCUGCCGAAAGGCGGGCUAAUACAGCAUGGGACCACAUGGUUUUGACCGAGUGGUGAAAGCGGGCCUCUGUUCACAAGCUCGCGCUCUGGGAUGGGUCUGCGUCCCAUCAGCUAGUUGGUGAGGUAAUGGCUCACCAAGGCAUCGACGGGUAGCUGGUCUGAGAGGAUGACCAGCCACACUGGAACUGAGACACGGUCCAGACUCCUACGGGAGGCAGCAGUGGGGAAUCUUGCGCAAUGGGCGAAAGCCUGACGCAGCGACGCCGCGUGGGUGAUGAAGGCCUUCGGGUUGUAAAGCCCUGUGGGGAGGAACGAACCGUACGGGGGCGAACACCCUCCGUACCUGACGGUACCUCCUUAGCAAGCAUCGGCUAACUCUGUG
rnacentral:rRNA from 1 species